CCUACGGGAGGCAGCAGUGAGGAAUAUUGGUCAAUGGGCGAGAGCCUGAACCAGCCAAGUCGCGUGAAGGAUGAAGGAUCUAUGGUUUGUAAACUUCUUUUAUAUGGGAAUAAAGUGAGGAACGUGUUCCUUUUUGUAUGUACCAUAUGAAUAAGCAUCGGCUAACUCCGUGCCAGCAGCCGCGGUAAUACGGAGGAUGCGAGCGUUAUCCGGAUUUAUUGGGUUUAAAGGGUGCGUAGGUGGUUAAUUAAGUCAGCGGUGAAAGUUUGUGGCUCAACCAUAAAAUUGCCGUUGAAACUGGUAGACUUGAGUAUAUUUGAGGUAGGCGGAAUGCGUGGUGUAGCGGUGAAAUGCAUAGAUAUCACGCAGAACUCCGAUUGCGAAGGCAGCUUACUAAACUAUAACUGACACUGAAGCACGAAAGCGUGGGGAUCAAACAGGAUUAGAUACCCUUGUAGUC
rnacentral:rRNA from 1 species